AUUGAACGCUGGCGGCAUGCUUUACACAUGCAAGUCGAACGGUAACAGGCCUUCGGGUGCUGACGAGUGGCGAACGGGUGAGUAAUGCAUCGGAACGUACCCAGAGGUGGGGGAUAACGCAGCGAAAGCUGUGCUAAUACCGCAUGUGAUCUGAGGAUGAAAGCGGGGGACCGAGCAGCAAUGUUUGGCCUCGCGCCUUUGGAGCGGCCGAUGUCGGAUUAGCUAGUUGGUGGGGUAAAGGCCUACCAAGGCGACGAUCCGUAGCUGGUCUGAGAGGACGACCAGCCACACUGGGACUGAGACACGGCCCCGACUCCUACGGGAGGCAGCAGUGGGGAAUUUUGGACAAUGGGCGCAAGCCUGAUCCAGCAAUGCCGCGUGCGGGAAGAAGGCCUUCGGGUUGUAAACCGCUUUUGGCAGGAACGAAACGGUGUCCGCUAAUACCGGGCGCUAAUGACGGUACCUGCAGAAUAAGCACCGGCUAACUACGUG
rnacentral:rRNA from 1 species